rnacentral:rRNA from 1 species
AGUGGAGCCUGCCCGGUGAAUCGGCCGCGGUACUCUGACCGUGCAAAGGUAGCAUAAUCAUUUGCCUUAUAAUUGAAGGCUAGUAUGAAUGGUUUGACAAGAAUAUAGCUGUCUCUAUAUAAUUUAAUAGAAUUUUAUGUUUAGGUGAAAAAGCCUUAAUAUAAUUAAAAGACAAGAAGACCCUAUCGAGCUUUAAAGAAGUUGGCGGAUGGUUGGGGCGACUGAGGAACAAAAAAAGCUUCCUUUAAACGGGUAUUGAUCCAUGGUUUAUGAUUAAAGAAAUUAGUUACCGUAGGGAUAACAGCAUUAUCUUUUUUGAGAGCUCUUAUCGAAAAAAAGGUUUGUGACCUCGAUGUUGGACCAGAAUGUCCUAAAGAUGCAGAAGUCUUUAAGGGUUGGUCUGUUCGACCAUUAAAAUUCUA